AGUGAACGCUGGCGGUAGGCCUAACACAUGCAAGUCGAACGGCAGCACAGUAAGAGCUUGCUCUUACGGGUGGCGAGUGGCGGACGGGUGAGGAAUACAUCGGAAUCUACUUUUUCGGGGGGGAUAACGUAGGGAAACUUACGCUAAUACCGCAUACGACCUACGGGUGAAAGCAGUGGAUCUUCGGACCUUUCGCGAUUGAAUGAGCCGAUGUCGGAUUAGCUAGUUGGCGGGGUAAAGGCCCACCAAGGCGACGAUCCGUAGCUGGUCUGAGAGGAUGAUCGGCCACACUGGAACUGAGACACGGUCCAGACUCCUACGGGAGGCAGCAGUGGGGAAUAUUGGGCAAUGGGCGCAAGCCUGAUCCAGCCAUACCGCGUGGGUGAAGAAGGCCUUCGGGUUGUAAAGCCCUUUUGUUGGGAAAGAAAAGCAGCAGGUUAAUACCCCGCUGUUCUGACGGUACCCAAAGAAUAAGCACCGGCUAACUUCGUG
rnacentral:rRNA from 1 species